rnacentral:rRNA from 1 species
UACGUAGGGUGCGAGCGUUGCCCGGAUUUACUGGGCGUAAAGGGCGCGUAGGCGGUCAGCACAAGUCAGUUGUGAAAUCUCCGAGCUUAACUCGGAAAGGUCAACUGAUACUGUGCGACUAGAGUGCAGAAGGGGCAACUGGAAUUCUCGGUGUAGCGGUGAAAUGCGUAGAUAUCGAGAGGAACACCUGCGGCGAAGGCGGGUUGCUGGGCUGACACUGACGCUGAGGCGCGAAAGCUAGGGGAGCGAACGGG